CAAGCACGGGCCCCGCAGCGCUCCCCUUACGCUCUCCGGGUGCUCCCCGCUCCUCUGCCUCUCCGCUACUUUCGGCGCACGUAAGGGAAUCACAGUUUCAGAUCAAUGAUAAUUCAGUGGGGGCAUGGAUAUCUGUCAGCUCCUUCAUCUGGUAUUGGAUUUGGAGGAAUAGAUUGCAAUAAUUCAGCAGUCUGUAAAUCUGUAAAUCUUCAUGGAAGAAUGAAUGCAACAACAUUCACCACAGCCAGUUCAGCUAAUUUCAUGAGCUGAUUUCCUUAAAAAGAAGAAUCAGAAUCAGAAGAAUUGCUGCUUUGUCCCUCUCAUCCAUAAACACCUCACUGUUGACCCCAUCUGACUUUUCUCCGCAUCAGUAAUAAAAAUUUUCAGAU